UCCUUGGGAGCCGAGGCUUGACGUUGGCUGAAGUGGAAGUCAUUUAAAAUCUACGGAAGACAGUCGUCAUAGCGAACCGUUGACGUCGCAGAUGCAGCGGCCAGCUGUUACUGGUCGCGUCACUCCCUUUGCCAGCUGAUCCAAGCAGGGCUCGAUACACCGGUAAACGUGAGAGGCGAGAACGGAGGAAUCACUUUACCGGUGAGGUUUGUAGUGGAUGCUGAUGAGUGAAUAUUGGCUGACCUACCGCAGUUCUUCUCUGGCAAACUUUAUGACCCUGUCCUGACGCUAAAGCUGCCAGCUGAAGAACUGUUGUGGUCAGCUCUACCCAGCAUGCACCAUUUUCAUCUGAGAGUGCUAUGGAUCUAAUUCAUUCUGGACCGUCUCUGUCAUAGAUCUUUGAUGAUAUUUUACAAUUCACUUUUCUGUGUUUUUAUCAUUGAAACAAAACCUCUUAAACUGAGAAAAUAUUUCGUAGGAAAAUGUAAAAAAAAUAUUAAAUUUUUGACUUGAAUUUUAAAA